rnacentral:rRNA from 1 species
CCCUUAGAUGUCCUGGGCCGCACGCGCGUUACACUGAUGCAUUCAACGAGCUUAUAACCUUGGCCGAGAGGCCAGGGCAAUCUUGUUAACGUGCAUCGUGAUGGGGAUAGAUUAUUGAAAUUAUUAAUCUUGAACGAGGAAUUCCUAGUAAACGCAGAUCAUCAAUCUGCAUUGAUUACGUCCCUGCCCUUUGUACACACCGCCCGUCGCACCUACCGAUUGGAUGGUCCGGUGAAGCCUCGGGAUUGUGGUUCUUGCCGCUUUAUUGUGGCGUGACCGCGAGAACUUGUCUAAACCUUAUCAUCUAGAGGAAGGUGAAGUCGUAACA